UACGGGGGGGGCAAGCGUUGUUCGGAAUUACUGGGCGUAAAGGGCUCGUAGGCGGCCAACUAAGUCGGAUGUGAAAUCCCCAGGCUUAACCUGGGAACUGCAUCCGAUACUGGAUGGCUUGAAUCCGGGAGAGGGAUGCAGAAUUCCAGGUGUAGCGGUGAAAUGCGUAGAUAUCUGGAGGAACACCGGUGGCGAAGGCGGCAUUCUGGACUGUAACUGACACUGAGGAACGAAAGCCAGGGGAGCAAACGGG
rnacentral:rRNA from 1 species